GACGAACGCUGGCGGCGUGCUUAACACAUGCAAGUCGAGCGGUAAGGCCCUUUCGGGGGUACACGAGCGGCGAAACGGGUGAGUAACACGUGGGUGACCUGCCCUCAGCUCUGGGAGUAAGCCUGGGAAACCGGGUCUAAUACUGGAUAUGACUCCAUGACGCAUGUUGUGGGGUGGAAAGCCUUGUGCGGCUGAGGAUGGGCCCGCGGCCUAUCAGCUUGUUGGUGGGGNGUAUGGCCUACCAAGGCGACGACGGGUAGGCCGGCCUGAGAGGGCGACCGGCCACACUGGGACUGAGACACGGCCCAGACUCCUUACGGGAGGGCAGCGAGUGGGGAAUCUUGCGCAAUGGGCGAAAGCCUGACGCAGCGACGCCGC
rnacentral:rRNA from 1 species